UGGUUCAGCCCAAUCGAUGUGGAUACACAGAGAAGACAGAUGUGGAGGGGUGUAACUGACGAAAAUGGGAUGGAAGUGGAAGAUGAAAACAUAAAAGGCCUGUCUCGUCAGAAAUCACAGCCUUACAGCCAGCACCCCCACAGUUGUGAAAAUGAAUGCACUCACCACCUGUGGUGGGAGCAGAACAAGAGAGUGGGAAAGGACAUAGGAGAGGAAGACGGAAAAGACAUAGCAACUGUUCAGGGUGAGAUUAACAUGGAAUUCCAGAACUCACCCAACAAGAUUUGGCCUCAGACGCUGCACUG